rnacentral:rRNA from 1 species
CAAUAGCGUAUAUUAAAGUUGUUGCAGUUAAAAAGCUCGUAGUUGGAUUUCGGGGCAGCCUGGCUGGUCCGCCGCAAGGCGAGUACUGGUCAGCCGCCCUUCCUCUCGAAAGCCCCGACUGCUCUUCGUUGCAGUGGUCGGGUAGUUCGGGACGUUUACUUUGAAAAAAUUAGAGUGUUCAAGGCAGGCCUACGCCUGAAUACAUUAGCAUGGAAUAAUGGAAGAGGACCUCGGUCCUAUUUUGUUGGUUUCCAGGGCCGAAGUAAUGAUUAAGAGGGACGGUUGGGGGCAUUCGUAUUUAAUUGUCAGAGGUGAAAUUCUCGGAUUUAUGAAAGACGAACAACUGCGAAAGCAUUUGCCAAGGAUGUUUUCAUUAA